CACGCCGGCGCCUUCCUUUGGGCGCUCGGGGUCGGCGGCGCGCGGGGGCAAAUGGAGUGGGUGCUGGCGGAUGCGCUGCUCUCGCAGAGCCGGGACCCCCGGGUCCUGCUUGGGGCGCUGUGCCGCGGGGAGGCGUCCGCGGAGCGCGUGGAGACGCUGCGCUUUCUCCUGCAGCGGCUGGAGGACGAGGAGGCGCGCGGCGGCGGCGCGGGCGCGCUCCCAGAGGCGGUGCGCGAGGUCGCCGCCGGGUACCUGGUGCCGCUGCUGCGGGGCCUGGGCGGGCGCCCGGCGGGCGGCACGGACCCCGGCCCCCCGGGCCGCCAGCGCCAGCGCGUGCUGAGGGCGGCGGGCGCGGCCCUGCGCUCGUGCGCCCGCCUCGCCGGGGGCCCGCAGCUGGCGGCCGCGCUGGCCGAGGAGGCGCUGCGCGACCUGCUGGCCUCGGGGCCCGCCGAGGCGGCCGUGGAGGUGCUGGCGGCCGUGGGGCCUUGCUUGCGGCCCCGCGAGGACGGGCCGCUGCUGGAGCGGGUGGCGCGCACCGCCCUCGCCCUGGCGCUGGGCGGGGACGAGGCGGGGCCCGCCGGGGACGCGGCGGCGCUGGCGGCCGGGCGGCUGCUGCCGGCGCUGGGCCGUGGCGGCGGGGCGGCGCUGCGGGCCGUGUGGGGCGGGCUGGUCGCGCCCGGGGCGCCCGCGGGGCCGGGCCGCGUCGGGCCGCGGCUGCUGGUGCUGAGCGCCCUGGCCGAGAAGCUGCUGCCCGAGCCCGGCGCGGAGCGCGCCCCUGCGGCGCGCGAAGCGGGCCCGGACGCCCGGCGCUGCGGGCGCUUCUGGAGGACUGUGCAGGCGGGGCUGGCCCCGGCCGAGGACGCCCUGACGCGCAAGCGGGCGCGCUACCUGCUGCAGCGGGCGGUGGAGGUGUCGGCGGAGCUGGGGGCCGACUGCGCGUGCGCCCCCUUGGAAGGCCCCGGCCCAAGUCUGUUUUGGUGGUCUGAGAAGAAAAAAGAUGAGCUUCUAAAGUUUUGGGAAAACUAUAUUUUAAUUAUGGAAACUCUUGAAGGAAAUCAGAUACAUGUUAUAAAGCCAGUUUUACCAAAGCUAAACAGUCUAUUUGAAUAUGCAGUAUCAGAGGAAAAUGGGUGUUGGCUCUUUCACCCAUCCUGGCAUCUUUGUAUUUAUAAAAGAAUGUUUGAAAGUGAAAAUAAAAUCCUGACCAAAGAAGGCGUGACCCACUUUUUGGAGCUGUAUGAAACAAGGGUUCUUCCAUUUUCACCAGAAUUUUCUGAGUUUAUUAUUGGACCAUUAAUGGAAGCACUUUCAGAGAGCUCUCUGUACAGCAGGUCCCCAGGCCAGCUGAUGGGAAGUGGUUCUCCUUUGGGAUUGAAAUUACAGAAGUUUUUAGUCACUUACAUUUCUCUUCUUCCAGAAGAAAUAAAAAGUAGUUUCCUGUUAAAAUUUAUUCAGAAGAUGACAAGCAGACAUUGGUGUGCUAUUCCUAUUUUGUUUCUAUCCAAGGCUUUGGCAAAUAUCCCAAGAUGUAAAGCCCUGGGUGUAGAAGGGCUUCUUGCCCUCAGGGACGUUCUUCAGUGCACCAUAGUCACACACCAGACCCUGCUGAGAGGCGCGGCACAGUGCUGUCUCCUCCAGGCGGCCAUGAAUCUGGUGGACGUGGAGAAAGUGUCACUCUCUGAUGUCUCAGCUUUUCUCAUGUCAAUGAGACAAGAGGAGUCCUUAGGACGAGGGACUUCAUUGUGGACAGAGCUCUGUGAUUGGUUGCGUGUUAAUGAAACCUGCUUUAGGCGAUCCUCAGCUUGUAGCUCCAUUGGACUUCACAAGACGUCCUCUUUAAAUGCUUAUGUAAAGAACCUGGUCCAAGAGUAUGUUACGUCACCUGCCUGGGAAGGAGGAAAAAACUGCCGCAUGCCUGAUUGGUUUGAAGCCAAACUUGUUGCUAUGAUGGUCUUGCUGGCCAUAGAUGUGGAGGGAAUGAAGAGUCAAUAUAGUGAAAAGCGGAGGACACAGAAUGUGUUAAGGAUAUUCUUAGAUCCUCUCCUGGAUGCCCUUGUGAAGUGUGGUACAAAUGCCUACAUGCCCUUGCUGAAAACUGACAGAUGCCUGCAGUUGCUGUUGAAGUUACUGCACACUUGCUUGUUGAGAGGUUCCGGUACCCAAGAUGAUGAGGUGUUUACUCUUCUUCAGAACUUCGUCAUGUCUACUACAGAGAGCAUUUCCGAAUUUAUUCUCAGAAGACUUACUAUGAAUGAACUAAGUAGUGUUUCAGAUCUGGAUCGUUGCCAUUUGUACCUGAUGGUGUUGACUGAACUUAUAGAUCUCCACUUGAAGGUUGGGUGGAAAAGAGGCAACCCUAUUUGGAGAGUUAUUUCUCCUUUGAAAAAUGCAUCCAUUCGGCAUCUUCAAGAGAUGGACCGUGGACAGGAGCCCACACUGGGUGGACAGAUUCAGAGAAUCGUUAGUAUGGCUGCCUUGGCCAUGGUGUGCCAGGCCAUUGACCAGAAGCCGGAGCUACAGCAGAACUCUCUGGAUGUGGGACCCAUGGAAAGAUUCCUCUCCUCUCUCCAGCUCAAUCAGACGCUGCAGAAGCCCCACGCAGAGGAGGGCAGCAGUUUUUUUGAAGAAUCAUCAUCUUCCCAAGGAUGGGGGAAAAUAGUUGCACAGUAUAUUCAUGACCAGUGGGUCUGCGUCUCUUUCUUGUUGAAAAAAUACCACACCCUUAUACCAGCCUCAGAGGGUGAAAUUCUGGAACCCAUUCUACCUGCUGUUCAAAUGCCCAUAAGAACUUUGCAGUCUGCACUAGAGGCCCUCACAAUUCUUCCUUCUGAUCAAGUUUUACCUGUGUUCCGUUGCAUGAAAAUUUUGGUUCCCAAGCUUCUGACCUCCUCGGAAUCACUCUGCAUGGAGUCUUUUGACAUGGCGUGGAAAAUCACAGCUUCUUUAAGCGACACUCAGCUGAUAUUCUGGUCUAAUUUAAAAGCUUUCGUUGAGUUUGUUUUUGAUCCCAAAGUCCUUACCAUUGCUGCAAAAAUCAAGGGCCAGGCAUAUUUCAAAAUAAAAGAGAUUAUGUACAGGAUAAUUGAAAUGUCUGCUAUAAAAACUGGAGUCUUCAAUAUACUGAUAAGUUAUUGCUGCAAAUCUUGGAUAGUUUCUGCUUCAAAUGUGUCUUUAUCUAGUGCUAAAAAUUACAGUGAACUUGUCCUUGAGGCGUGUAUAUUUGGAACAGUGUUUCGGCGUGAUCAAAGACUUAUUCAGGAUGUACAGACCUUCAUAGAAAAUCUUGGACGUGAGUGUGCAGCGAACGUUGUUAUUGAAAAUACUAAAAGAGAGGACCAUUACGUGAGAAUUUGUGCCAUCAAAUUCCUGUGUUUAUUAGAUGGCUCAAAUAUAUCUCAUAAGUUGUUUAUGGAAGAUCUUGCAAUCAAGCUAUUAGAUAAAGAUGAAUUGGUGUCCAAGUCAAGAACGCGAUACUAUGUGAAUUCUCAACAGCACAGGGUGAAAAACCGAAUAUGGCAGACUCUGCUCGUACUCUUCCCCAGGUUCGAUCAGAAUUUCUUGAAUAGAAUUAUUGACAAGAUUUUCCAGGCUGGCUUCAUCAAUAAUCAGGCGUCCAUAAAGUAUUUUAUAGAAUGGAUUAUUAUUCUAAUUCUUCAUAAAUUCCCUCAAUUUCUUCCAAAGUUCUGGGACUGUUUUUCUUACGGUGAAGAAAACCUUAAAACAAGCAUUUGUACUUUUUUAUCAGUUGUGUCACACUUGGACAUCAUUACUGAAAAUAUUCCGGAAAAGAAACUAAUUCUGAAGCAAGCCCUUAUUAUCGUGCUGCACUGGUGUUUCAAUCACAAUUUUAGCAUUCGACUGUAUGCCCUAGUUGCUCUUAAGAAAAUCUGGAGCAUGUGUAAGACAUUGCACAUUGAAGAACUUGAUGCUUUGACUUCUGUUAUUGAAUCCAGUCUGAAUCAAGUGGAAAUCACGCAUGGAGCAGGGCAUAUUUGAGAUGUUUCUCUUCAGUGCAGCCAAAUGUCAUCAUCCUCUGUUGUCAAAGAACUGCUGAGAGGCAGCGUGACCUGACUUCAAAGUCAUGCUCGUAACUCCUCAGAUGUCCGGGUUAAAGCUGGAAGCUCUUUCCUUUUUCUUAAAUGAAUUUUUUUUUAAGCUAAGUUAUUUAUUUUAUUUAUUGGCUGUGUUGGGUCUUCGUUGCUGUGCGCGGGCUUUCUCUAGUUGUGGAGAGUGGGGGCUACUCUUCAUUGUUGUGCGUGGGCUUCUCAGUGCUGUGGCUUCUCUUGUUGCAGAGCACGGGCUCUAGGCACACAGGCUUCAGUAGUUGUGGCACAUGGGCUCAGUAGUUGUGGCACAUGGGCUCAAUAGUUGUGGCUCACGGGCUCAGUAGUUAUGGCUUGCAGGCUCUAGAGAGCAGGCUCAGUAGUUGUGGCACACGUGCUUAGUUGCUCCACAGCAUGUGGGAUCUUCCCAGACCAGGAAUCAAACCUGUGUCCCCUGCAUUGGCAGGUGGAUUCUUAACCAGUGCACCACCAGGGAAGUCCCCUUUUUCUUUUCUAAGAGAACUUCUUUAUUCCCAAACAAAGUCCUACUCAGAUGCUCAAUAUCAAAGGCUGCUGUGGAUGGAAUAGGGCAGGGUGCAGGCCUUAGAGCAAAACCCAGGCAGAUGGGAGCUCAGGACAUCCAGGCAGUUGUCCUUUGAAGAUACUCUUGAAAGCUCAGGGAUAAAGAUGACAGGUGUGUAAGGAGGUCUCCUAUUCUCACCCCACUGAUGCUGAGGCCCGGACUGCAGUGACCGGAGGGGCUGGGAGCUCAGGGUGAAGAAGGUGCGUUGGCCGGAGCCAGAGAAUGAGCUUGCCAGGAAGCCGUCUUGAAAUCGCUGCUUGGCUUUUGGGUUGUUCAUCAUGAAUUUGAACUGAAACCUGCCAGUGGUGCCACACUUUGUAAUUUCUAUUCCUGCCUCUUUUACCUUCUAAAACUUGACAAAUUGGGGGGUUUUGUUGUUUGUGUGUGUUCAAGUAUUUAAAACCUGUUACUUGCAUUUGGCUUAUGAAAGCUGGUACAGUUUGGCGGCGUGUUGUGAAUCUUCAGAGUAGAAACAGUGACUUAUGGGGACUUCCCUGGCAGUCCCGAGGUUAGGACUCUGCGCUUCCUCUGCAGGGGCCUCGGGUUUGAUCCCUGGUCAGGGAACUAAGAUUCCACACGCCCCGUGGCACAGCCAAAAAAAAAAAAGUCAUUUAUGACCAGAGAGAGAGAGACGUAAGGAUCCCAGCCUAGAUUUCUUACACGGUUCCCUUUUAGAAUUCUUUUUGCCCAAGCACGUGAGUAGUUCCCGUGGCAGCUGUCCAUGUGCGAUUUUCCCAUCGCUGUCUGUUGAAAACCGUGUCUUUGAUGGAGUGGAGACCUGAGUUUCAUUCUUAUUGAAUCAUUGUUUGUUGUAGGACAAACAGUGUGAAAGAGUUAUUUGUCUUUGAGUUUCAUUUCAAAAGGUCAAAUUUAGGGUCAGCUUUUAAAGGAUGUCGAUCUUAGAAAUAGGGGUGUAUAAAUCUUGGGAUAAAAUUCACAAGAUUUUCCAUUCAUUCUAAAUUCUGCAGUACCUCUUCAAGAGAUCUAACUGGUCUUCCCCCUACCACUUGUCUGUACCUCAUACGUAUUUUUAACCCUUAGGAACGCAAAGAAGAAUUGGCAACGCAUCCAGGAGCAUUUCUUUUUUGCAACAUUUCACCCACUUAAGGAUUACUGUCUGGAGACCAUAUUUUACAUCCUUCCACGCCUUUCCGGCCUUGUCGAGGACGAGUGGAUUGCCAUUGGUAAAU